UUGGAAGCAAAUAACUUGUUCUCUAUGUUUCACAGGUCCACGGAUGGAGAGAAAUUGUGCCACAGGACAGACCAUAUCCAUAACCAAUUUUGGUGCUCCCAUUCACACUUCCGGAUGAAACCAAUUACUAGAGACUCACAGGGCUGUGUGGAGGGGCAGCCAGCGCUGGACCGGGAAAUGAACUUGGGAUUUACCUGCAUUCAGUUAUUAACUGGAAGGUGCUCUCAAGCAUGUCACUUAAUCUCUGAGGACCUCCGUUUCAUCAAUCUGUAAAAUGAGAGGACUGGUUUAGAUGACCCCGAAGCACUCUUUCAGUUCUCCCAAUCUAUGAAUCUUUAACCUAGUUCAUUUCCGCCUUUCAGCAGGGACAGAGCAAUUGAGCCUGACAGUCGAAAGAGAAACAAUCCUUUUGGAUUAAAGUGUGCGUACCGGAUUUCUCUGUCUGCAGCUCAGAUCCACUCGCCACCGGUCUGCACCCCAUUCUUUGGCCCGGGAGGCUGACCUUGGAGGAUUGCAUCACCAGGCUUCGUUGCCCUCUGGCUUCUGAUCUGAGAGCAGUCUGGUGUGUGGCUGAUGGGGCUGUGCUGGCCUGGACAUGAUGAAGUCAGAGCUAAGGAACAAAGGGGGAUGAUCUGUUGCUAUCAACGAAUUAGAAGGUCCUGGGCCAUGGGAAAGAACAAUCAAUUGGACUCAGGCUGGAAUGCCACCCAUGGCCCCUGAACUUUCUGCCUCCUGGAUUCUUAGCUGUCCUAAGCCUGUGGCCUCUGCUCCCCAGCCUUCGACCUGACCUCCCUGUUCUGACUUACCGCUUGGCUCAGAAUGAUUCUUCCUCCUGGUCUACCACUCACCCCCCCACGGAAGACCCUCCACUGGUUGGGGACUUCCUCAGUGGUGAUGAAGAACAGGAUAUUUUAUCAUUAAUGACAAGGGAUCAAGGGACAGAUUAUGACUCUGCAACAUACAAAUAUUAUCCCCUGCACGCUGAUGUUGCUAGUAGUUUUAUUUGGUUUG